rfam:Oryza nivara chromosome 8, whole genome shotgun sequence.
UUUAAGUGCAACCAUGAGUUUCCUUGCCCAAUUUUGAUCGUCCGUCUUAUUUAAAAUUUUUUUGUAAUUAAUAUUUUUUUUUGGUUGUUAUGAGAUGAUAAAACAUAAAUAGUACUUUAUGUGUAACUUAUGUUUUCAAUUUUUUUUAAAUAAGACGGACGAUCAAAGUUGAGUACAGAAAAGUAUGGUUGCACUUAAA